rnacentral:misc_RNA from 1 species
GAUGAAGAACGUAGCGAAAUGCGAUAAGUAAUGCGAAUUGCAGAAUCCGUGAGUCAUCGAAUCUUUGAACGCACAUUGCGCCCCUUGGUUAUUCCGAAGGGCAUGCCUGUUCGAGCGUCAUUAUCACCCCUCAAGCCCUGGCUUGGUGUUGGACUUUAGUUAUAGCUUUGCCUAUCAACUGGUCUCAAAAAUAGUGACGGCGCCCCAGAGGGAACCGGGUACGAGGAGCUUUUUACUAAGCAUGUAUCUGAGACGACUCUGAUGGGCGACGGUCUUGUUAUACUUUUUACCUAAGUGUUGACCUCGGAUCAGGUAGGAAUACCCGCUGAACUUAAGCAUAUCAAUAAGCGGAGGA